rnacentral:rRNA from 1 species
AGUGAACGCUGGCGGUAGGCCUAACACAUGCAAGUCGAACGGCAGCACAGUAAGAGCUUGCUCUUACGGGUGGCGAGUGGCGGACGGGUGAGGAAUACAUCGGAAUCUACUUUUUCGUGGGGGAUAACGUAGGGAAACUUACGCUAAUACCGCAUACGACCUACGGGUGAAAGCAGGGGAUCUUCGGACCUUGCGCGAUUGAAUGAGCCGAUGUCGGAUUAGCUAGUUGGCGGGGUAAAGGCCCACCAAGGCGACGAUCCGUAGCUGGUCUGAGAGGAUGAUCAGGCACACUGGAACUGAGACACGGUCCAGACUCCUACGGGAGGCAGCAGUGGGGAAUGUUGGACAAUGGGCGCAAGCCUGAUCCAGCCAUACCGCGUGGGUGAAGAAGGCCUUCGGGUUGUAAAGCCCUUUUGUUGGGAAAGAAAAGCAGCAGGUUAAUACCCCGCUGUUCUGACGGUACCCAAAGAAUAAGCACCGGCUAACUUCGUG